ACAGUAUUCCUCCGUCCAACAAAAGAUGUUUCAAGUUUGUCAAAAUUUGGAUUUAUCUAGACAUGACUUAGUGUAGUGUAUAGAUGCAUUCAAAUUUAGUCAAACUUGAGACAUCUUUUGUUGUACGGAAGGAGUACUGC
rnacentral:pre_miRNA from 1 species